rnacentral:lncRNA from 1 species
UCACUCCCCCAUCUCUCCAUUUUCCUCGCACGAAGCCAAGAGCAGAGAAGCCGCGCCUGCACACCCAUCUCCGCACACCCGAACUCCAAACUCGUUCGGUCCAUCUUCUUGCCGUGAAGUCGCAAGAUCCACCGAAGCUGCUCCAUCUCCACGCUGCCACUUGCCCGCUUCUCCUUCUGCUUCGGUCAACAAACGAACCAGCGAAGCCAUGGAUUGACCGCUGGAAGCCCACGACUCCACCGAGUUUGGUCGGCCACUCACGCCACACCAACCGAGAAGCCGCGGGAACGGAGGCAGUCAACCACGCCAUCCACCGAAGACCAAUACUCCCUCGCAUUGCCAGGCGUCCUCCAGCGUCCACGAGCAGUCCAUGAUUCCUCCGUUAGUUGACUCUGUCGGCUACUUGUCCGCGUGAGUCUCCUCAACGCCACGAAGACAGAAGCUAGAGAAGCCCACGUUUUACCGAGCCUUCGUUGCGUCCGCAACACCAACGCCACACGUCCGAAUCUCCUCCAGCGGCAGCGUGCCUGCACUGAUUUUAUUUUGGUCGGACAUCUCCACGGUUCUUCGUCCGUCCAUCCGCGUGAGCAGCAACCCACCGAAGAAGAAGAGAUCUCUACGCGUCCGCUCCUUCCAAUUCUGAGUCAACCGAGCAAACCCCCCCUGCAACUCAUCACCCUCCAGCGAAGACCGAAGCAGCCCACGCAAAUCUCUUCUUGGAUUGCGGCCCAACUCUACAGCCCAGCGAAGCCAAAAAUCUUCGGUCCAUCUUCAGCAGCAUCAGCCCAGCAAAUUUGGCUUAUUUCAGCCCAAAGAGAGCAGCCCAUUUUCAGUUUAAUUUCAAUUGGGCCAGCAAUUUCAGUCUUCAAGCCCGCAGGAUUGAGGCCCAAUUUCAGUCCUCAAUUUGAAGACCAAGUUAGUUCAGCCCAGAAAUUCAGCAGGUCCAGCCCAUUCCAGUGCAAGAACAAAUCUCAAUUGGGCUGAGAUUUGUUGGGCCAAGCUUAAGGCCCGGUUCAAGUCUGCCGGUGUUGUCGAAAGUCCAAUUUCGGC